rnacentral:rRNA from 1 species
CCUUGCGUACUCAGUACGGCGAGUGAGCGGUAACAGCUCAAAUUUGAAAGCUCGCUCUUUUAGGGUGCGCAUUGUAAUUUGUAGAAGAUGCUUCGGGUGUGGCCCCGGUCUAAGUUCCUUGGAACAGGACGUCAUAGAGGGUGAGAAUCCCGUAUGUGACUGGGUGCUUUCGCCUAUGUGAAGCUCUUUCGACGAGUCGAGUUGUUUGGGAAUGCAGCUCAAAAUGGGUGGUAAAUUUCAUCUAAAGCUAAAUAUUGGCCAGAGACCGAUAGCGCACAAGUAGAGUGAUCGAAAGAUGAAAAGCACUUUGGAAAGAGAGUUAAACAGUACGUGAAAUUGUUGAAAGGGAAGCGCUUGCAACCAGACUUGCGCGCUGAUGAUCAUCCGGGCUUCUGUCCGGUGCACUCGUCUGCGCUCAGGCCAGCAUCGGUUUCGGUGGUGGGAUAAAGGCCUUGGGAAUGUAGCUUCUUUCGGGGAGUGUUAUAGCCCUCGGUGCAAUGCCGCCUACCGGGACCGAGGACCGCGCUUCGGCUAGGAUGCUGGCGUAAUGGUUGUAAGCGACCCGUCUUGACCCACGGACC